UACGUAGGGUGCAAGCGUUAAUCGGAAUUACUGGGCGUAAAGCGUGCGCAGGCGGCUUUGCAAGACAGAUGUGAAAUCCCCGGGCUCAACCUGGGAACUGCAUUUGUGACUGCAAAGCUGGAGUACGGCAGAGGGGGAUGGAAUUCCGCGUGUAGCAGUGAAAUGCGUAGAUAUGCGGAGGAACACCGAUGGCGAAGGCAAUCCCCUGGGCCUGCACUGACGCUCAUGCACGAAAGCGUGGGGAGCAAACAGG
rnacentral:rRNA from 1 species